CUCCCUCCUGCUUCCAGUGUCCUCCAUCUCUACCCUUUCUCUCAUUUUCUAAUAUUGAGGACAUUCUAACUUCCAGGCUGCUGCGCGUCCUCGUCCGUCUGCCUUCCUUGUGAUCCCUACAGAGCUGCUGGAGAGUGAAGCAGCACAGAGCUGACCUUAUAAAGACUCCUCCUGGCCAGACCACACCUCUGUCUCAGAGUCCAUGGAAGCCAAGACCAAGUCCGGCGCUCCAGCGCCCAAAGCAGCAUCUAAAGCAGAGAAGAAGGAGCCGGUAGCCCCACGCAAGGCUGACCCUGCCCCUGCAGCCCCCGAGCCCGAGCAUCCUCCUCCCUCCCAAGAUGGGGCAGCAGAAGCUGAAGCAGCAGCAGCAGGUGAGGAGGCCGCGGCCUCCGGCACAGACUCUCUGGAACACCUGAAGCCCUUCCUCAUCGGCGGUGUCGUUAUCGCUGCAGGAGCCAUCUUGCUGGGAGUGUUGUUACUGGCAAGGAGAAAUUAAAACCAAAUCAUUAUCCCAAGUUCCAGUAUUCAUUGGUUGAUGAGUUUAGAGCGUCGCUGCUGAUUGGUUCACAGACUAUCAUGGUACAGACGGGGGGAUGGGGAGCCACUGUGCAUUUUAUGUUUUUAGUUGUUGGUUUGUCUUCUUCUGACCUGCUUUCACUUGUUGUGAAUCAAAGCAUUCAAGCUUUGAUCAAGGCUGUAUAUGGAGCAUAGUUAUACUCAGUAUAUGCAUGGAAAUGCUGCGAUACUCCAUCUGAAAUGUAAUUAUGUCUUUCUUAAAAAAACAAACUCACGUUGUAUUACCGAGCUUCAAAGCCUAAACUAUCUACAGGCAGCUUGUUCAACUGCUUUAUCUUGUUUAAUUCAGUUUGCACAAAUACUGACACCAGAUAUUUGUGCCUUCUUGCACCAGAAAUGAGCCUGGUUCACUUUGCUAAAAGAUCAUGAAGAACUGUAUUUAUAUGAUUGGAACUUAUAGCUGUUAACAUUGUGUAUCAGAGUUCUAGGUUUUAUUUUACUUUUAAACAGGACAACAGGAAGAGCAGGCUGGGGAGCAGCCCUGAUUAUGCACUGUGAUCUAUUGCACAUACUUUGGCUGAAUCAUUGCCUGACUGAAGGGAUUAAGUUCCUCUUUCAGUGAGACAUCAAAGACAUCAAAUCCCUAAUUGUAAAAAGAAAUAGUCUAAUAUAAUAUGGCACAGUGCAAUAAACUUGUUCAGAUACUGAACGUAGAAGCAUGCGGUGGUUGAGGAACGGCAUGUAGGGACCGCUGGACAUAAAACGUGGACUCUACGGAGCAGAGGAUUGUAGUGAAGUAACUUCUUGCUGUAGAAUAAGAAAGAGAAUUUAUUUUACUGUCGAAUAAUAUCACAAAUCAAUAACCUUUCAUGUCUUACACAACAGUCAUGCUAGCUCACUCUGUUCACAUCUGGCGGUAUGCAGAUGCUUCACUGUAGCGGCCCGAGCAGCCAUUAGUGGUGCAGGAUCAGGUCUAGAGUCUGCUGCCAGGACACGGGAGCUGUUUCUGUCGACACCCUGACGGUUGCAAAAUCUUGUUUUCAAAACCACGUUAAUAACUAAGUACAACUUUAACGUGCUGAGAGCAUCCUAGACUGCUGCAGAUACAGUGGAAGCUGGCUGUAAACCAACCGGUGUCAUGUGUUGAGCUCGAAGGGGAAAGAAGCAGUUCUGUCACUGCACACGCUCACCUGUACAGCUGUACACCAUCGUUUUAACUCACAUCGUGGUUGUCCCUGUCGCAUAAGUAGAUAGCAGAAAGACAGUUCUGACAUUAACCAUCACUUGAUUUUAGUAUAGAGGGUAUAGACUUCACACAUCACUGGCCAAAAAUAUUAUAUGAACAUACCACAUUCAGCACCCCAAACAUAUUAAAAAGAUAGUAUGCCAACACCAAAACAAACUUCACCUUACAUUGUACAAUACAGUGUACCAAAAAAAAAAAAGAGAAAAUUCCUAUUUUCAUAAUUUCAACAGCGUAUAAAUGCAAUAAUUCAGAUAGGACUCCUCAUUUAGCACAUGUGCUGUAGCAAGUUAAAUUAUAUAAACGAUGUAAUACUGUAUUAUCUUAGAGAAGGCAAAGAUGGUGAUGUUGCAGAGGACGAUGACGGGUAAUGAUGAUGUUGUUCAUGGUGACUGUAAUGGUUCUAAUGAUGGUUAUGAUAUAUUUUUUUAUAUAUUUCUAACAUAUUUUCCUUAUGCACCCUCCCCUCUGCCCCCAAACUUCUAAAUGUAAAAAAGAAAGAGUGAAAUCCAACCUUAUUAAAGGCAGUGAACCAGCC